CUCUCUUCCAACCACCUGUCGAGCUCCUGCCAGUUACCUGCCUGAAUCUUGCGAUUCACCUGACUUGCUCCAGCGUUGUUUCCAGUAUCCCUGUUUAUCUGUUUCCAGUUCAGCUCCUCUUCCCGAAUCGGAUAUCAGGAUUAAGAUCAAGCUGAGAGAUAUGCUGCAGGCUCACACAAACAUCUGGAUGCAUCACACAUGACUAUAAAGGUGUGGGAUUUCCUGUGAAAAAUGGACCAAGAUGAUUAUUAUUGAAGGAGGGAUCUAAACAGGCAUCGCAAGGAAGAAGUGGGAGAGGCCUCAGCCAUGUUGAGUUUCAUCAGUGCAGAGAACAAAACUUUGAGCACUUACAUCAAAGAAACUGGGCUAUUACACACUGCUUUUCUGUAAUAUUUAGUGAUUCUUUUUCUCUAUUUAUUCUGAAUAUUGAAUGAAUUUGCAUAACAUACAGUACUGGCCAAACGUUUUAGACACAUGAAUAUUUACAUUGUAUGCAGAUUCUCAAUGAAGGCAUUAAAACGUGAAUGAACAUCUGCAAUUAUGUAGCAUAAUACAUUUAUUGA